rnacentral:ribozyme from 1 species
GUGUUUCUGGUACGCUCGCUGCUUUUUCGUGAAGGAAGGAAAGCGGCGCGAACGCCUUGAAGAAAAGGAACUGACAGGGGCAAUGGGCAAAAGGCAAGGAAGGCCAGAGAGAGACACGCAGGGAUAGAAAA